GCAAGUCGAACGCGAACAGUUUCUUCGGAAACCUAGUAGAGUGGCGCACGGGUGAGUAACGCGUAAGUUAUCUACCCUCCCAUCUGGAAUAACUCCCCGUAAGGUGUGCUAAUACCGCAUACGUUGAUUUAUCAAGAAAGGUGGCCUCUAUUUAUAAGCUACCGUGGGGGGAUGAGCUUGCGUACCAUUAGCUAGUUGGUAGGGUAAUGGCCUACCAAGGCAUCGAUAGUUAGCGGGUCUGAGAGGAGGAUC
rnacentral:rRNA from 1 species